GACCCUUGAAACUAGACUAGAAGCAAGAAAGGAGUUGACAAGAGUGAAGAGGGCUUCACUCUUGCCUCUAUAUAUACUAUCUAACUAGAAGCCACGUGACGAUGUUCUAUAAGACCUCCAAUAUAUGUUGACUUUCUAGGCCACAUGCCUUUGCUUGCAAGGCAAGUUUUCUAUGGAUGGACCACGUAGUUAGCUUGUUCUUUAAGCUUCCAACAUGUGUGGCACAUGGCUAACUUGUUGACCAAGUUUCUAACCUAAAAGUCAACUAUAGACUCCUAUAAAGUCAAAGCAGUGUCUAUGAAGCUUUUAAGAAGCUUCUCUAGAAGAUAUUACACAAUUAACCUACUUUUAUCUACUUUUACAUACUUUUAUCUAUUCAUAUAGGUAAUUAUAUGUAUGUCCGUGACAAUAUGAUGGUGGUUGUUGUAAGAGGAAGGGUAUCAUAGGAUCCAGGGUGUGAUAGUGGGUUUGUAAGAGGACAGGUAUGACAAGAUCCGGAUAUGAAGGAGGGUAUUGUACAAGGUCAGGCAGGAUAGAGGGUAUUCUAAGAGGAAGGGUAUCGUAAGAGGCAGGGUAUUGAAAGAGGAAGAUGCGAGAUGCGAAUGAAAAAUUUGGGAACGAGAAGUAUUGGAGAGGCAAUGCGUGCAAGUUUGUCCACGGAGUGUUUGAGUAUCGGCCGCAUCCAGCUCGGUAUCAAGCACAGCCAUGCAAGGAUGGGUAAAACUACCGUUGUCGAGUAUGUUUUUUUGCACACACGCUAGAGUAGCUGCAGUUGGUGCCUACGACGCCACAAGCAGCAAAGACAGGAGGUCGGAGCGGAGGGAGUUACGUCGGGUCGUCGCAAGCUGGUGCAGCGACGAGCCACGAUGGGGCGUUCGGGUACGAGGGCUCGUCUCACAAAAGAGCAUCAGGAGGUUACGGUCUGAGCCACUCGUCGGGUACGAGAGCUCGACCCACUAAGGUGUAGGGUGUGUGGCAUUGCAAGCAUCGUCAUCCAGGCUGACGCUCGUCGGGCACGCGUAGUACCUAUCGCAGGUGAGCCCUCUGCUGUCUCCGUCGGAGUCGCCUCCGCCAUCGCCCAGGUCGGCAAAAGAAUGGAAAAAACUUGCGAGGUUAUUUGUGAGCGGGUCGAUGUGAGGAGCCCAAUCUUGGAUGUCGUUGCGAGCAACGUCAUAGCAAGCGAUGUAGGCUCACGGGCUGGGUGGACACGAGCAGUCGUCCGCGAUGCGAGUACAUUGGCGGCAUUUAGAUUGUUCGAACUUGAUGCCAACGGUGUCAAUACUAAACACUAGAGAGUAUCGGAUGCUGAACUUGGGGAUGCAUCCGGGAUCGGCACGGACGUCACCAAAGGGAGUGCGCUCAGAAGUCGAUGAUGGAGAUUGAAGGUGUACGUCUGGCAUCGGCUGCGCAGUGGCUGCAGCAACAGUAUAUGACGGCACCGUCGCCGCUGCAUCGGUGCUCAUAGAGCAUGCCCCGGACGCCGACGAAGGUGUCCAGAUUGUGGGAUUAGAAGGAGCGACGGCAGGUGAAGGAGAACGACGACGAGGAGCCGAUGGUGCUGCGGGCGGAGAGUGGUCAAAUCGAGGGCACCGCAGGACCUGGACCAAGUGAACGACCCGUCUGUUGGAAUUUAUUUUUGCCAAGCAGAAUUCGGUAUCCAUUUCAACUCUACACACAAUUCUCACAUAACAAGAAGAUAUAAUUCACAUCUGGAAUUAGGGUCUUCACACCCUAAUUAGGGUUUUAAAACCCUAAUUUAAAAAAAAUGAAAUCCAUAGUUUUGUAAAAUAAAAGCAUUUAUAGAGGUCUUUAAGACAAUGUAAGCCUCUCCAAAAUUUCAAAACAAAAAAAUUAGUGAUAAAUUGAGAGAUAUUUAGGAUCAAAAACCUCUAGGACAUCCAUGUAAUCCUAAACCCUAAACCCUAAACCUAGUUUGUUCAUAGUAGAGUUGUAGAUAGACAUGUAGAUGGCUUGAUGUUAAAAAAGACCAAUAGUGGUGCAUAUUGGAAAAAGGAUGGAAUGUAUGAAGAUCGUGUUGGAGGAGCUCGCCACUUCAUUCAAGAAUAUGGUGCAAAUUGGCGGAAUCAUGUUCAAUCCAUUGCAUAGGCUUAGAACACAUAUAAUAUAAAGUUAAAUCAUAUGUACAUAUGGUAUAAAUAUGAUAUUUUCUCCAAAAAAAAAAAGACAUUUAUCUAUAUAAAUUAUCCAAUAUAUUAUUAUAAUGUUCAAAAGUCUCUAUGUAUUUAUUUCAUAUUUUUAUAAUAUUUUUUUUAUAUAUUAAUGAAAGGCAAAUUUUGUUAUUUUAAAAAUCUCAUAUCUCCUAAACUAUUAAUUUGCUGAAAAUUUUAAACAUACCAUUAGAAUCAAAAGCAUGACAAAUAGGGAGGUAGGUCAAAUCAAAAAUUCAAAACAAUAAAGUACACAAAAAGUCAACAGAAAAUUGUAUCAAGUCAAACACCUUAUAUCUCAAAAUUGAAAAAUAUGUAUAGGAUUUCAAGACCAUCACUAGAUUCCUAGACCCUUAAAAUAGGGAGGUAGCUCAAAUCAAAACUUCAAAAUUCCUAUUCAUAUGUAAAGUCAACUCAAAAGUCAAAAUAGUCAAACACUUAAUACCUACAAAUAUAUGCACCUUUUCAAAACUUCAAGCACAUAUUUAUAAUUGGCAACCCUCAAACAAAUCCAAUGGAAUUUUCAAAAAUUUCAAAAAGCCUUAUAUGACAAAAGUCAAAACCCUAAACUCCAAGUCAAAGUAGCUAAAUCUUCCAAAGUAUAAACUUGUAUAGGAAAAGAAUUAUACCAUUGACAUUCUAAACACCAUAAAUGGGGAGGUAGGUCAAGUCAAAAUCCAAAAAUAAUGAUGCCCAAAAACCGGAGACAUCCUUGUAACCCUAAACCCUAAACCCUAAAUCCUAUUUAGGGUUUUCAAACCCUAAAUUACACAAAACAAAAUACAUCUUUUUGAAAAAAAAACGUUUAUAGAGGUCUUUGGGUGAUUCUAAGCCUAGGCAAAAUUUUACUACAGAAAAAGCUGUGAUAUAUUGAGAGAUAUUGAGGAUGAAAAACCUCUAGGACACCCAUGUAAUCCUAAACCCUAAACCUAAAUCCUAAACCCUAAGACCCACAACCCUAAAACCUGGGAAAUCCUAAACCCUAAAUACCAAAAAAUGAAACACAUAUUUUUGAAAAACAAAAGCAUUUAUAAGGGUCUUUACGACACUAUAAGCCGUGAAAAAAUUUCAAAAUAAAAAAACGAGUGACACGUUAGGAGAUAUUUACGACCCUAAACCUCUAGGACACCCUUAUAACCCUAAACCCUAAACCCUAAACCGAUCCAUGAUUUGUUGGGUCUCUUUCUCCUCCACUCCUCCUCCCUUCACCCAGACCGCUGAUUCACAUUGCUUCCCUUCGCAUGACCUGAACCUUCACCGUGAGGACAACAACCUGAACCGUCACCGUUUAUGAGCGGCGGAGCAGAGAGACUGGCAUCGCUACACGGGAGAGUUGGUCGUCGCCAUCGUUGUAUGAAUCGAUGGGUGACUACAUGCCUAUGUCACAGGAUGUGCAAGCGCAAUAUGUAAUUCGGUGGUGGACCUCGUUCUUACUCGCGACAAUGCACGAUGCAGAGGCGCCUUGAGAUGACGCGUUGGGUGGGGUGUACCAAACGAGCUACAACUUUUGGGGGUACGGUUUAGGGUUGCACGCAUUCAACAAUUUCUUUUGGAGCCCGUCGAGGUCAACGAUGUCCAAGGAUGAGUUUUCGAGAUUUUUGAUGGCAAAUGAGGAGUCGCAGAUCGAGGCGAGGAGCGGUGAAGGGAGCUUUUAUGAGGAGGCAGGAAGAGAGCAAGUCGAACAGACAUGCGAGGGUUGAAGUUGGGAUCGACGUCACUGCUGGGGGCCGAGGGAUCUAAUCGCUACGAUUACAGAUAUUUUUUGAUGCGUCGUUCAAUAAUUUUGUCAUCGAACAACGAGGACGAGGAGGCGUGGCUAGUGAUAGACAUGUACGGGUGCAAUCAGUUCCGGAUGUUGGAAUUCUAGAUGAGGCGAUGUAUGAGAGGGAGGAGCCAUGAUUGGACAGAGGACCCAUUCGCCCACCCGGGCGAGAAAGCUAGGCAUUGCAAUCCGUGGCGCUAUGACUACUCGGAGACAGCGUAUAGGGACUUUCAAAAAAGAGAGCUCUUGGAGAGGCAAUGCGUGCAAGUUUGGAUGCAUUUAAGUAUUUGAAUAUUGGCUGUAUUCGGCUCGGUACUUGGAUGUAGCUGUCCAAGAAUGGGCAGAAAUACCAUCGUCGAGUGUGGUUUUUGGUAUAUAUGUUGGAGCAAUUGCAGUGGAUGGCUACGGUGGCACAGAAAGCGACGACGAGAGACCGGAGCAUAGGGCAUCACGAAUGGUUGCCGCGAGCUGGUGCACUGGAGAGCUACGAUCGGGCGUCAAGGUAUGAGGACUUAUCUUACGAUGGACCAUCGGGACAUGAUGGUCUGAGCCUGUCUUUGGAGCAUUUGAGCUCGACCCACUGGAGUGCAGGGUGUGCGGCAUUGUAGAAUUCAUUGCCUAGGUUGAUGUUGGUCGGACUCGCACAGUAUCCGCUGCUGUUGAGCCCUUUAUUAUCUUGGUUGGAGUCGGUUGAGAAAUGAGCGUGGGUGCGGGGUGAUUAACAAGCGUGUCGAUGUAUGAUUUUGCAGAAUCUGUAAUGUGACUACAGGCGACGCUGCAGUAAGCGACGUAGUCUCAAAGGCUGCACUCACGGAUGGAUCAGGGGUAGGCACCAACGUUGCCUGCGGGAGUCUUGCAGAAGUUGAAGAUGGAGUUGAUAAUGACUCCAUCAACGAUAAUCCUGAUGGAAGGAGAGCUGAUGGUACAGCAGGUGGAGAGCGGACAAAGACAUAGGGGCGAGCAACCUGAAGGACUCUCUGGACUUGGACUAGGUGAACUACCUAUCUAUGGGGGAUUGCUUUAAGUAAGUAGAGUUCUAUAUGCAUUUAGAUUCCAUACACAAUUCUUUCAUGAGAAAAAAUAUGCAAGUCAGAACUCUAAUCAGAGUCUGAAGACUCUAAUUAAGAUUUUUAAACCCUAAAUUACAGAAAACGAAACACAUUUUUUUGAAAAAUAAAAACGUUUAUAGAGGUCUUGGGUGAUUCUAAGCCUUGGCAAAAUUUUACAACAAAAAAACUAUAAUAUAUUGAGAGAUAUUGAGGAUGAAAAACCUCUAGGACAUCCAUGUAACCCUAAACCAUAAACCCUCAACCCUCAAUCCUAAAUCCUAACCCCUAAACCUAUAAGAAGAAGGGUAUCAAGGAAUGUAGGGUGCGAUAGUGGCUACUGUAAGAGGAUGGAUAUUGUAUAAGGCCGGGUAUGACUGACGAUAUUUCAAGUGGCAAGAUAUCGUAAGAGACAUGGUAUUGGAAGAGACAGAUGGAAGAUGCAAACGAGAACUUACGGAACGAGAACUACUGGAGAGGCAAUGCAUGCAAGUUUGUGCAUAGAGUGUUUGAGUAUCGACCACAUCCGGCUUGAUAUCAAGCACAACCAUGCAAGGAUGGGUAAAACUACCAUUGUCGGGUGUAUUUUUUUUUACAGACAUAUCAAAGCAGCUGCAAUUGCAACCCACGUCGCCACAAGCAUCGAGGAUGGGAGGUCGAAGCAAAUGAGGUCACGUCACGUCACCGCAAGUUGGUGCAGCGACAAGCUACGAUGGGAUGUUUGGGUACGAAAGCUCGUUUGACAAAAGAGCAUUGAGAGGUCACGGUCUAAGCCAUUGGUCGGAUACGAGAGCUCGGCCCACUGGCAUGUAGGGUGUGUGGCAUUACAAAAAUUGUCGUCCAUGCUGAGGAUCGUCAGGCACGCAUAGUAUCCGUUGCCAAUGACCCCUCCAUUGUCUCCAUUGCAGUCGCCUUCGCCGUCACCCAAGUCGGUAGAGGGAUGGAGAAAAAUUUUAGGUUAUAUGCAAGCAAGUUGUUGUGAGGAGCGCAAUCUGGGAUGUCAUUGCAAGCAACGUCAUUGCAAGGAGUGCAAGCUCAAGGGCUAAGCGGAUACGGGUAGUUAUCCGCGAUGCUUGUAUAUCAGCAACCUUUGGAUUAUUUGAACUCGAUGCCAAUGCUAUCGAUACUAAGCAUGAGAGAGCAAUGGAGGUUGUACUCGAAGAUGCAUCUGGGGUCGGCACGCAUCCGCAAGACGGAGUGUGCUCUGAAGUCAAAAAUGGAGAUUGGAGGUGCACGUCCCACAUCGGCUAUGCAAUGGCUACAGCAAUAGUACACAAUGGCACCGGUUCCACUACGUAAGUACUCAUAGAGCAUGCCGGACACGCCGACAAAGGUGUUUAGAUGGUGGGAUCAGAGGGACUGACGAUAGGUAGGAGAGAACGAAGACGGAGAGUCGAUAGUGCAAGAAGUGGAGAGCAGAUAAAUCAAGGGCAUCGCAGGACCUAGACCAAGUGAACAACCUGUUUGUUGGAGUUUGUUUUGACUAAGUGAAAUUUAGUACGCAUUUCAACUCUAGACACAAUUUUCACAUAACAAAAAAAAUAAAACUCACAUCCCAAAUUAGGAUCUUCAAAUCCUAAUUAGAGCUUAAAAAUCCUAAUUAGAGCUUAAAAAUCCUAAUUAAUAAAAAAUAAAUCACAAAAUUUUGUAAAACAAAAGCAUUUAUAGAGGUCUUUAAGACAAUAUAAGCCUCCGUAAAAUUUCAGAAUAGAAAAACUAGUGAUAAAUCAAGAGAUAUUUAGGAUCAAAAACCUCUAGGAUAUCCUUAUAACCCUUAAAUCCUAAACCCUAAACCUGAUCUUUGAGACACUCUAAGCCUUGGCAAAAUUUUACAACAGAAAAAGCGAUGAUACAUUGAGAGAUAUUUAGGAUCAAAAACCUCUAGGACACCCAUGUAACCUUAAACCCUAAAUCCUAAACCAAGGAUCAAAAAUUUCUAGUACACCUAUGUAACCCUAAAUCUUAAAUCCUAAAUUUUAAACCUUAAAAUCCUAAAAAUCCUAAAAAUCUAAAUCCUAAAUCCUAAACCAGGUCAUAAUCUAAAAAUAUUGAUGUCCAAAAUCCGAGUACACCUUAAAUCCUAAACCCUAAAAAUGGGACAUCCUUGUAAUACCAAACCCUAAGUCUCAAUUUUUAAAUCCCUAAACUCUAAAACUUGGACACCUUUGUUACCUCAAAUCCUAAGUCCUAAUUCUUAAACCCCUAAAUCCUAAAUCCUAAACCUGGUGGCAUAGAAAGAGCUCUAAGAAGUUCUUUUGAUAUACAAAAAAUAUCGUUACAAAGAUUCUUUGAAAUAUGCCAUAAUUUGUACAAAGAUUAUAAAGAAAUACAAGAAUAACCAUUGUUGUGAACAACCAAGAAAUCAAGUAUCAUUUUAAAGCAAAGUUACAUAUCUAUCAUUCCAUGUUUCCAUAAUGUGUACAAAGGAGAAUUUUUUCCCCAAACACCAACGAGAGAACUAAUGAAAGUGAACAACAAUUGAUUUAGCAAGUUCUUUGACACUGUAGCAGCUUUACAAAUGAAGCGUUUGUUAGCAUCUCAUAAAUUGAAGGGAAAUGUAAUGUAUGCAAAAAGGUCUUUUGCUUCCCUAUAAGUACUUUGUGUAGGUAAAAUUAACACUUCAAAAGGUUCGCAAAAGCUCCCUCUUAGUAUCAGAUAUAAAAAUCUAAUAUGAUACUACUGUCAGGGACAAGAACUCGAUGAAAGCUAAAGAGUAAGUGAGACUUUUCUCAAAAAGAAAUAGGACAAAAUAGAAAUAUGUAUAUUAAGAAAGAAACUGGAAUGGCUAUUGCCAAAAUACAAGAAAACUAGAGACCCUUGAAACUAGACUAGAAGCAAGAAAGGAGUUGACAAGAGUGAAGAGGGCUUCACUCUUGCCUCUAUAUAUACUAUCUAACUAGAAGCCACGUGGCGAUGUUCUAUAAGACCUCCAAUAUAUGUUGACUUUCUAGGCCACAUGCCUUUGCUUGCAAGGCAAGUUUUCUAUGGAUGGACCACGUAGUUAGCUUGUUCUUUAAGCUUCCAACAUGCGUGGCACAUGGCUAACUUGUUGACCAAGUUUCUAACCUAAAAGUCAACUGUAGACUCCUAUAAAGUCAAAGCAGCGUCUAUGAAGCUUCUAAGAAGCUUCUCUAGAAGAUAUUACACAAUUAACCUACUUUUACAUACUUUUAUCUAUUCAUAUAGGUAAUUAUAUGUAUGUCUGUGACAUUACCCCCCCUUCUAGGGACGAGUUCCACGAGGAGCGGUGAUUAUAUAUUGAGAAAAUCUAAUAUGCGGCGAAUUGUAUUUGCUACAUACUCUGAUCUUUGUUCUCUUCGAAGAUAGUUGAUGGGUCCUCUUAGCCAUCGAUAGUGUCCCAUUCCAGGGCGAGAAGACCACCCUGUUAUUUGAUCACUGUUGAGGCCUUCAUAACUUCCUUCAAAUAAUACAUUUGAAACACCAUCAGGAGUCGUUCCUAUCUCCAAUAAUAUCACCAAACAUCGAGAAUCUCUUCCAAGGUCGUGAUACCAAACGCGUUGUAUCUCACCAUCUAUUCGAGGAAGAACAUGUCGUUCUUGAGGGUCUUCAUUUCGGUUGCGUCGUCUUGAAGGUUGUGACAAUCGCAAUGUCUCAUCCGGUAAGUCAGCAAACGAAG
rnacentral:lncRNA from 1 species